GAGGGAAGCCCAGAUUGAUCUGUUAUUGUUGCUGUUAUCUUGUCGAUAAGUCAUGUCCAAUUCUUUGCAAUCCCAUGAACUGUAGCCUGUCAGAUUCCUCUGUGCGUGGGAUUUCCCAGGCAAGAAUACUGGAGUGGAUUGCCGUUUCCUACUCUGGAGAAUGGAGAAUCUUCCCAACCCAGGGAUGGACCUAGAGUCUCUUGUUUGGCAGGCAGAUUCUUUCCCACUGCGACACCUAUCGACACUGCGACACUGGGAAGCCCUACCCAGUUUUUUUAAGCUUAUAAUAGGUAUCAAGCAAUUACUGGGUGGAUGGAUGCAUGGAUGGAUGGCUGGAAG
ensembl:lncRNA